AAAACAUGAUGAGAACAUUUUUAAAGCAUUCCUUAAAUAUCUUCCAAGUUUCAUAAAUUGAAUCUCUAUCAAUAUGGGUAAAAGAUGAAAUAUCAUUUCUAAAUAU